rnacentral:rRNA from 1 species
AUUGAACGCUGGCGGCAGGCCUAACACAUGCAAGUCGAACGGUAACAGGAAACAGCUUGCUGUUUCGCUGACGAGUGGCGGACGGGUGAGUAAUGUCUGGGAAACUGCCUGAUGGAGGGGGAUAACUACUGGAAACGGUAGCUAAUACCGCAUAACGUCGCAAGACCAAAGAGGGGGACCCUCGGGCCUCUUGCCAUCGGAUGUGCCCAGAUGGGAUUAGCUUGUUGGUGGGGUAACGGCUCACCAAGGCGACGAUCCCUAGCUGGUCUGAGAGGAUGACCAGCCACAAUGGAACUGAGACACGGUCCAGACUCCUACGGGAGGCAGCAGUGGGGAAUAUUGCACAAUGGGCGCAAGCCUGAUGCAGCCAUGCCGCGUGUAUGAAGAAGGCCUUCGGGUUGUAAAGUACUUUCAGCGGGGAGGAAGGGAGUAAAGUUAAUACCUUUGCUCAUUGACGUUACCCGCAGAAGAAGCACCGGCUAACUCCGUG